rnacentral:rRNA from 1 species
CCUACGGGAGGCUGCAGUGGGGAAUAUUGCACAAUGGGCGCAAGCCUGAUGCAGCCAUGCCGCGUGUGUGAAGAAGGCCUUCGGGUUGUAAAGCACUUUCAGCGGGGAGGAAGGCGGUGAGGUUAAUAACCUCAUCGAUUGACGUUACCCGCAGAAGAAGCACCGGCUAACUCCGUGCCAGCAGCCGCGGUAAUACGGAGGGUGCAAGCGUUAAUCGGAAUUACUGGGCGUAAAGCGCACGCAGGCGGUCUGUCAAGUCGGAUGUGAAAUCCCCGGGCUCAACCUGGGAACUGCACUCGAAACUGGCAGGCUAGAGUCUUGUAGAGGGGGGUAGAAUUCCAGGUGUAGCGGUGAAAUGCGUAGAGAUCUGGAGGGAUACCGGUGGCGAAGGCGGCCCCCUGGACAAAGACUGACGCUCAGGUGCGAAAGCGUGGGGAGCAAACAGGAUUAGAUACCCGUGUAGUC